CCUACGGGUGGCAGCAGUGGGGAAUAUUGGACAAUGGAGGAAACUCUGACCCAGCGACGCCGCGUGAAGGAUGAAGGUUUUCGGAUUGUAAACUUCUGUCAGCAGGGAUGAAGAAUGACGGUACCUCGUGAGAAAGCCCCGGCCAAAUACGUUCCAGCAGCCGCGGUAAUACGUAGGGGGCGAGCUUUGUCCGGAAUGACUGGGCGGAAAGGGAGGGUAGGCGGCAUAUUAAGGUAUGUGUGAAAGCCCGCGGCUCAACCGCGGAAUUGCACAUAAAACUGGUAAGCUGGAGUGCAGGAGAGGUAAGUGGAAUUCCCGGUGUAGCGGUGGAAUGCGUAGAUAUUGGGAGGAACACCAGAGGCGAAGGCGACUUACUGGACUGUAACUGACGCUGAGGCUCGAAAGCGUGGGGAGCAAACAGGAUUAGAUACCCUUGUAGUC
rnacentral:rRNA from 1 species